GUCAUAUGCUUGUCUCAAAGAUUAAGCCAUGCAUGUCUCAGUACAAGCCAAAUUAAGGUGAAACCGCGAAAGGCUCAUUAAAUCAGUUAUGGUUCCUUAGAUCGUACCCACAAUUACUUGGAUAACUGUGGUAAUUCUAGAGCUAAUACAUGCAAACAGAGCUCCGACCGGAGACGGAAGGAGUGCUUUUAUUAGAUCAAAACCAAUCGGUGGCGGGCUUGCUCGUCAUCGUACAACUUGGUGACUCUGAAUAACUUUACGCUGAUCGCACGGUCUCGCACCGGCGACGCAUCUUUCAAAUGUCUGCCUUAUCAACUGUCGAUGGUAGGUUCUGCGCCUACCAUGGUUGUAACGGGUAACGGGGAAUCAGGGUUCGAUUCCGGAGAGGGAGCCUGAGAAACGGCUACCACAUCCAAGGAAGGCAGCAGGCGCGCAAAUUACCCACUCCCGGCACGGGGAGGUAGUGACGAAAAAUAACGAUACGGGACUCAUCCGAGGCCCCGUAAUCGGAAUGAGUACACUCUAAACCCUUUAACGAGGAUCAAUUGGAGGGCAAGUCUGGUGCCAGCAGCCGCGG
rnacentral:rRNA from 1 species